AUUGAACGCUGGCGGCAGGCUUAACACAUGCAAGUCGAGCGGGGUGAUGGUGCUUGCACUAUCACUUAGCGGCGGACGGGUGAGUAAUGCUUAGGAAUCUGCCUAUUAGUGGGGGACAACAUCUCGAAAGGGAUGCUAAUACCGCAUACGUCCUACGGGAGAAAGCAGGGGAUCACUUGUGACCUUGCGCUAAUAGAUGAGCCUAAGUCGGAUUAGCUAGUUGGUGGGGUAAAGGCCUACCAAGGCGACGAUCUGUAGCGGGUCUGAGAGGAUGAUCCGCCACACUGGGACACGGACACGGCCCAGACUCCUACGGGAGGUAGCAGUGGGGAAUAUUGGCCAAUGGGGGGAACCCUGAUCCGGCCAUGCCCCGUGUGUGAAGAAGGCCUUAUGGUUGUAAAGCACUUUAAGCGAGGAGGAGGCUCUUUUGGUUAAUACCCAAGAUGAGUGGACGUUACUCGCAGAAUAAGCACCGGCUAACUCUGUGCCAGCAGCCGCCGUAA
rnacentral:rRNA from 1 species